GAAAUAUAGGGUCUUGUUUAGGGAUUCAGUUUGUAAAUAGUGUAUUUCCCAAUUCGUCGAAAUUGGAAUUAACAGAAAUCCCUAAUUUCGAUGUAAUUAGAUUUCAUGUUUUUCGAUCAAAUUUUGUACGGUUGGAAUUGGUUUUAAUUAAGAUGCAAAAUUACCAAACUAUCCUCACUUUAAUUCUAUCAAUAUCCUUAUCUUCUCCUCUCCUUCCUACUCUUUCUUAUCACCAGAAACCCUAAAAAAACCUUCUUCUUCCUUGUUCUUCCAAUUGAACCCAAUUCUUCUACCGUACCUAUCCACCGUCAACGCCAUCGAUCGAGUGUUUUCCUUAGCGCCCAUCCAUCUAUCGUGAGCAGACCCUUCCCUUCCCUUCAGUUCAGCCAUCGAUCGCGUUCUGUCCUUCAGUCGGGAUUUACAAAAGAAUGAAGAAAGCAUAACAAGUCAGCCACUGCAUCGAACUAGUGAAAGAGAACAGCACAAUAAAACAGUUGAUGUUUUUAAUCAGUCAACCAUAAAUCAAAACUCUAAAUCAGAUAAAUCGAAAACCAUGAGAUGCCUUAAUCGAAAAACCCUAAAAAUAAGAUGAACUAAUUCGAAAACCUAGAUCGGAACUGACAGUAAUCGUCAAGAACCCAGAAGAAGAAGAGGGAUAUGAGUUACCUAAAUAACGAUACAGAAGGAGAUGAUGGGCGAUGAAUGACGAUUUGGGUUUUCACCACGAGUUGGGUUUUGAGGGUUGUAGGACACUCUGCGAUUAUCUGGAGGUAAAGAGCUUGGGGACGAGCUGCGCGAAAGGAGAUCGAGGACGACGAGCUUGUCGGAGGAUGUUCGCCGCCGACUAGAUGGAAGAAACUCAAAACUCCAUUUUGGAGCAUUGGAUUGAAGGAAGAUCAUCUGUGAGCUGUCGUUUGAUUUCAGCAUAUGGUGG
rnacentral:lncRNA from 1 species